rnacentral:piRNA from 1 species
UCUCAAGUUCAAAGGUUAAGGCAAGUAGC